rnacentral:rRNA from 1 species
GACGAACGCUGGCGGCGUGCCUAAUACAUGCAAGUUGAGCGAUGAAGAUUGGUGCUUGCACCAAUUUGAAGAGCAGCGAACGGGUGAGUAACGCGUGGGGAAUCUGCCUUUGAGCGGGGGACAACAUUUGGAAACGAAUGCUAAUACCGCAUAACAACUUUAAACAUAAGUUUUAAGUUUGAAAGAUGCAAUUGCAUCACUCAAAGAUGAUCCCGCGUUGUAUUAGCUAGUUGGUGAGGUAAAGGCUCACCAAGGCGAUGAUACAUAGCCGACCUGAGAGGGUGAUCGGCCACAUUGGGACUGAGACACGGCCCAAACUCCUACGGGAGGCAGCAGUAGGGAAUCUUCGGCAAUGGACGAAAGUCUGACCGAGAAACGCCGCGUGAGUGAAGAAGGUUGUCGGAUCGUAAAACUCUGUUGGUAGAGAAGAACGUUGGUGAGAGUGGAAAGCUCAUCAAGUGACGGUAACUACCCAGAAAGGGACGGCUAACUACGUG